GACGAACCGUGCGAACGUUGUUCGGAAUCACUGGGCUUAAAGGGCGCGUAGGCGGGCCGGCCGGUCGGAGGUGAAAGCCCCCAGCUCAACUGGGGAAGCGCCCCCGAUACCGCCGGCCUGGAGGGGGGUAGGGGCGUGCGGAACUUCCGGUGGAGCGGUGAAAUGCGUAGAGAUCGGCAGGAACACCCAGGGGGAAACCAGCCGACUGGGCAUCUGCUGACGCUGAGGUGCGAGAGCGUGGGGAGCGAACCGG
rnacentral:rRNA from 1 species